rnacentral:rRNA from 1 species
UCGAAAGCCUGUCCCAGUUCGGACUGGAGUCUGCAACCCGACUCCACGAAGUUGGAUUCGCUAGUAAUCGCGCAUCAGCCAUGGCGCGGUGAAUACGUUCCCGGGCCUUGUACACACCGCCCGUCAAGCCAUGGGAGCCGGGGGCGCCUGAAGUCCGGGACCGCGAGGACCAGCCUAGGGCGAAACUGGUAACUGGGGCUAAGUCGUAACAAGGUAGC